UACGGAGGGAGCUAGCGUUAUUCGGAAUUACUGGGCGUAAAGCGCACGUAGGCGGCUUUGUAAGUUAGAGGUGAAAGCCUGGAGCUCAACUCCAGAAUUGCCCUUAAGACUGCAUCGCUUGAAUCCAGGAGAGGUGAGUGGAAUUCCGAGUGUAGAGGUGAAAUUCGUAGAUAUUCGGAAGAACACCAGUGGCGAAGGCGGCUCACUGGACUGGUAUUGACGCUGAGGUGCGAAAGCGUGGGGAGCAAACAGG
rnacentral:rRNA from 1 species